rnacentral:tRNA from 1 species
GCCUGAGUGGUGGAAUGGUAGACACGGAGGACUCAAAAUCCUCUGCCUUCGGGUGUAAGGGUUCAAGUCCCUUCUCAGGUACCA